AGGACGAACGCUGGCGGCGUGCUUAACACAUGCAAGUCGAACGGAAAGGCCCUUUCGGGGGUACUCGAGUGGCGAACGGGUGAGUAACACGUGGGUGAUCUGCCCUGCACUUCGGGAUAAGCUUGGGAAACUGGGUCUAAUACCGGAUAGGACUACGGACUGCAUGGUCUGUGGUGGAAAGCUUUUGCGGUGUGGGAUGGGCCCGCGGCCUAUCAGCUUGUUGGUGGGGUGAUGGCCUACCAAGGCGACGACGGGUAGCCGGCCUGAGAGGGUGUCCGGCCACACUGGGACUGAGAUACGGCCCAGACUCCUACGGGAGGCAGCAGUAGGGAAUCUUCCACAAUGGACGAAAGUCUGAUGGAGCAAUGCCGCGUGAGUGAAGAAGGUUUUCGGAUCGUAAAGCUCUGUUGUAAGGGAAGAACAAGUAUGGGAGUAACUGCCCGUACUUGACGGUACCUUAUUAGAAAGCCACGGCUAACUACGUGCCAGCAGCCG
rnacentral:rRNA from 1 species